rnacentral:tRNA from 1 species
GGAGAGAUGGCUCAGUGGUUGAGAGCACUGGCUUUCUUUUCCAGAGGUCCUGAGUUCAAUUCCUAGCACCUACA